AGAGUUUGAUCCUGGCUCAGGACGAACGCUGGCGGCGUGCCUAACACAUGCAAGUCGAGCGGAGACAGUGAGUAGCUUGCUAUGAGCUGUUUUAGCGGCGGACGGGUGAGUAACGCGUGAGCAACCUUUCCCAGACAGGGGAAUAACACACCGAAAGGUGUACUAAUACCGCAUAAGACCACGGAAUCACAUGGUUCUGAGGUAAAAGAUUUAUCGGUUUGGGGUGGGCUCGCGUCCGAUUAGGUAGUUGGUGAGUACGG
rnacentral:rRNA from 1 species